CAUGCAGUCGAGCGGCAGCGAGUUUCUCACUGUUUGCUUCUCUUCUUUCGGUAUUUACGAAGGAAGUUUAGAGGAGUGAAGAGUGAGAAAUGUCGGCGAGCGGCGGACGGCUGAGUAACGCGUAGGAAUGUGCCCCAAAGUGAGGAAUAACUGCCCGAAAGGGUAGCUAAUGCCGCAUAUGAUCUUCGGAUUAAAGGAUUUAUCCGCUUUGGGAGCAGCCUGCGUCGGAUUAGGUAGUUGGUAGGGUAAUGGCCUACCAAGCCUACGAUCCGUAGCUGGUCUGAGAGGAUGACCAGCCAGACUGGAACUGAGACACGGUCCAGACUCCUACGGGAGGCAGCAGUGAGGAAUCUUCCACAAUGGGCGAAAGCCUGAUGGGGCAACGCCGCGUGCAGGAUGAAGGCCUUCGGGUUGUAAACUGCUUUUAUAAGUGAGGAAUAUGACGGUAACUUAUGAAUAAGGAUCGGCUAACUACGUGCCAGCAGCCGCGGUCAUACGUAGGAUCCGAGCGUUAUCCGGAGUGACUGGGCGUAAAGAGUUGCGUAGGUGGUUUAUUAAGCGAAUAGUGAAAUCUGGUGGCUCAACCAUACAGGCUAUUAUUCGAACUGACAAACUCGAGAGUGGUAGAGGUUACUGGAAUUUCUAGUGUAGGAGUGAAAUCCGUAGAUAUUAGAAGGAACACCAAUGGCGUAGGCAGGUA
rnacentral:rRNA from 1 species